GCCUACGACCAUAUCACCCUGAAAGCGCCCGAUCUCGUCUGAUCUCGGAAGCUAAGCAUCGUCGAGCCUGAUUAGUACUUGGAUGGGAGACUACCUGGGAAUACCAGGUGUUGUAGGCU
ensembl:rRNA 5S_rRNA 5S ribosomal RNA